rnacentral:rRNA from 4 species
UGGAUGACUCUCGGCAACGGAUAUCUCGGCUCUUGCAUCGAUGAAGAACGUAGCGAAAUGCGAUACCUGGUGUGAAUUGCAGAAUCCCGUGAACCAUCGAGUCUUUGAACGCAAGUUGCGCCCGAGGCCAUCCGGCCAAGGGCACGCCUGCCUGGGCGUCACGC